rnacentral:rRNA from 1 species
AUUGAACGCUGGCGGCAGGCCUAACACAUGCAAGUCGAACGAGGGGCGGGCGGGUGAGUAAUGUCUGGGAAACUGCGCGAUGGAGGGGGAUAACUACUGGACACGGUCGCUAAUACCGCAUACCAUCGGAUGUGCCAAGAUGGGAUUAGCUAGUAGGGGGGGUAACGGCGCACCUAGGCGACGAUCCCUAGCUGGUGGGAGAGGAUGACCAGCAACACUGGAACUGAGACACGGUCCAGACUCCUACGGGAGGCAGCAGUGGGGAAUAUUGCACAAUGGGCGCAAGCCUGAUGCAGCCAUGCCGCGUGUAUGAAGAAGGCCUUCGGGUUGUAAAGUACUUUCAGCGAGGAGGCGUUACUCGCAGAAGAAGCACCGGCUAACUCCGUGCCAGCCGCCGCGGUAAUUC